rnacentral:rRNA from 1 species
GAUGAACGCUGGCGGCGUGCCUAAUACAUGCAAGUCGAGCGAACGGACGAGAAGCUUGCUUCUCUGAUGUUAGCGGCGGACGGGUGAGUAACACGUGGAUAACCUACCUAUAAGACUGGGAUAACUUCGGGAAACCGGAGCUAAUACCGGAUAAUAUUUUGAACCGCAUGGUUCAAAAGUGAAAGACGGUCUUGCUGUCACUUAUAGAUGGAUCCGCGCUGCAUUAGCUAGUUGGUAAGGUAACGGCUUACCAAGGCAACGAUGCAUAGCCGACCUGAGAGGGUGAUCGGCCACACUGGAACUGAGACACGGUCCAGACUCCUACGGGAGGCAGCAGUAGGGAAUCUUCCGCAAUGGGCGAAAGCCUGACGGAGCAACGCCGCGUGAGUGAUGAAGGUCUUCGGAUCGUAAAACUCUGUUAUUAGGGAAGAACAUAUGUGUAAGUAACUGUGCACAUCUUGACGGUACCUAAUCAGAAAGCCACGGCUAACUACGUGCCAGCAGCCGCGGUAAUACGUAGGUGGCAAGCGUUAUCCGGAAUUAUUGGGCGUAAAGCGCGCGUAGGCGGUUUUUUAAGUCUGAUGUGAAAGCCCACGGCUCAACCGUGGAGGGUCAUUGGAAACUGGAAAACUUGAGUGCAGAAGAGGAAAGUGGAAUUCCAUGUGUAGCGGUGAAAUGCGCAGAGAUAUGAAGGAACACCAGUGGCGAAGGCGACUUUCUGGUCUGUAACUGACGCUGAUGUGCGAAAGCGUGGGGAUCAAACAGGAUUAGAUACCCUGGUAGUCCACGCCGUAAACGAUGAGUGCUAAGUGUUAGGGGGUUUCCGCCCCUUAGUGCUGCAGCUAACGCAUUAAGCACUCCGCCUGGGGAGUACGACCGCAAGGUUGAAGCUCAAAGGAAUUGACGGGGACCCGCACAAGCGGUGGAGCAUGUGGUUUAAUUCGAAGCAACGCGAAGAACCUUACCAAAUCUUGACAUCCUUUGACAACUCUAGAGAUAGAGCCUUCCCCUUCGGGGGACAAAGUGACAGGUGGUGCAUGGUUGUCGUCAGCUCGUGUCGUGAGAUGUUGGGUUAAGUCCCGCAACGAGCGCAACCCUUAAGCUUAGUUGCCAUCAUUAAGUUGGGCACUCUAAGUUGACUGCCGGUGACAAACCGGAGGAAGGUGGGGAUGACGUCAAAUCAUCAUGCCCCUUAUGAUUUGGGCUACACACGUGCUACAAUGGACAAUACAAAGGGCAGCGAAACCGCGAGGUCAAGCAAAUCCCAUAAAGUUGUUCUCAGUUCGGAUUGUAGUCUGCAACUCGACUACAUGAAGCUGGAAUCGCUAGUAAUCGUAGAUCAGCAUGCUACGGUGAAUACGUUCCCGGGUCU